rnacentral:lncRNA from 1 species
CUUGAGUGUCCUCAUUGGUCACAGGAGAUCCUGAUUUCUAAGCUUUCCUUACCUGACCUUUACUGCUGCUUUGCCCUGGGAUUUGGCAACUCUGAAUAGGCCACCUGUCAGGUCCUGGUUUUAAGGCAUACUGAUUGUGUGGACCUUGGACAUGGCAUGUUUCUAAGUCUUAGCUUCCUUAUCUGUAAAGAGAGGGUGAUACAAACUUCCCCAGGGACUGUUGGAAGACUUGGAGACAGGAUGCCAUCAGUGUGGAGACUCCCUAGUCGUCACUGUUAUCCUAGAGCAAAUCCCACCACACAUUGACACGUGCUGGGCCACCAGCACCCCACAGGUCUUCUCGGUGCAAUAUUUAUUUUUCUUUGAUCGUCAAUAUUUUAUUACUGUGUCACAGGGGGUCUUUCUUAUUUGCCCGGGAGCCAUUGUGAAAUAAAAGCUUGUACAUUUUCUUUCAAUGAACUCAGAGAACAAAGGCCCUUGCUCAGGUCAUGGCCUGGUCUUCCUUUAGUUUUAAAGGUCUGUCUGCUGCCUGUUCCUAUAACAAACCAAUAUCAUUGAGACCUGCCCAGAGCCCACCAAGUGGAACACCUGUGGAGAGGCAUGGUCGUCUGGGCUUGAUGACCUGGUGGAAGUCACCAUUACAUCUCUCACUGGCUCUGUGCCCUCAGCACAUUAUAAAACCUGUCUUGGCCCCAGUUUCUUCGUUUAUGAAUCAGACCUAGUGAGAAACACUUUGGUGUGGGGUAUGAGAAUCACAGGGGGCCAUAAGGGGCCACACUAGUGAAGGUCAGGCCCCUCCUCAUCCCCCUGCCCCCUGCUCUCUGCCCUUUUCCUUUUCCACUCUGUGCAGACACUUGUAGCUUCAGGAACACACAAAACCGGCCAUAGUCAGAGAUGUAGCUGAGCACCUGGUAGGGGUGUCAAGGUUGGUUCAAUCCCAGGAAGGGUGGGUAGGUAGAUGGAGGGGUAGGAGGGAUGAGAGGAGUAGGGAGGAGGGGAGGCCACAGAGAGAAAUUCCCAUACCUGCAGCUGGGAAUGGAGCAGGAGGC